rnacentral:rRNA from 1 species
CCUACGGGUGGCUGCAGUAGGGAAUUUUCCACAAUGGGCGAAAGCCUGAUGGAGCAACGCCGCGUGCAGGAUGAAUGCCUUCGGGUUGUAAACUGCUUUUAUAUGUGACGAAUAUGACGGUAGCAUAUGAAUAAGGAUCGGCUAACUCCGUGCCAGCAGCCGCGGUCAUACGGAGGAUCCAAGCGUUAUCCGGAAUUACUGGGCGUAAAGAGUUGCGUAGGUGGCAUAGUAAGUCGGUAGUGAAAGCGUGGGGCUCAACCCCAUACACAUUAUCG